rnacentral:lncRNA from 1 species
GGGGGCCUGUGUUAACACCAAAAUUUAGAAAUGUGCUCUGAAAGGAAGGUAUCGGCCGAUGAUGCAAAAAAAUAAUAAAAUAUCCUAAAUAAGGUUGAAGAAAGAAAAAGCAAGAAAAGGAAAUCAAUGCACGCGGCAAGAAUUGAAUAAAUAUUCUGGAGAUAGAGUUGGUUAGGAUAAGCUUGCUUAGAGAUAGAGUUGGAUUAGUUAGAGAUAGAGUUUUGAUUAGAAAAAAAUGUGUUCAUGACUUGCCUUGUACGUGGUGCGUCAGAGGCCAUCCGCCCUAUAAAUAUAAGGGGUCAUGGCCUUGUAAUUUUCAUCACAUGAUCAAUAUACAACAUAUUUAUCUUUUAUUUACCUUUUUGGCUUCAUGCCAUUGCAUUAGGAGUAGAAGUAAUGUAGCUUCUCG